UAGAACAUAUCCUGGUGCAU
rnacentral:piRNA from 1 species